rnacentral:tRNA from 2 species
GGUUCCGUGGUCUAGGGGUAGGAUACCUCGCUUACAACGAGGUGAUCGUGCGUUCGAAUCGCGCCGGAACCA